rnacentral:rRNA from 1 species
CCUACGGGUGGCUGCAGUGGGGAAUAUUGCACAAUGGGCGCAAGCCUGAUGCAGCCAUGCCGCGUGUGUGAAGAAGGCCUUCGGGUUGUAAAGCACUUUCAGCGGGGAGGAAGGCGGUGAGGUUAAUAACCUCAUCGAUUGGCGUUACCCGCAGAAGAAGCACCGGCUAACUCCGUGCCAGCAGCCGCGGUAAUACGGAGGGUGCAAGCGUUAAUCGGAAUUACUGGGCGUAAAGCGCACGCAGGCGGUCUGUCAAGUCGGAUGUGAAAUCCCCGGGCUCAACCUGGGAACUGCAUUCGAAACUGGCAGGCUAGAGUCUUGUAGAGGGGGGUAGAAUUCCAGGUGUAGCGGUGAAAUGCGUAGAGAUCUGGAGGAAUACCGGUGGCGAAGGCGGCCCCCUGGACAAAGACUGACGCUCAGGUGCGAAAGCGUGGGGAGCAAACAGGAUUAGAUACCCCUGUAGUC